GGAUUAGGCAUGCAAGUCGGACGGUAGGGCUUUAUCGUAAGAUAGAGUUUGAGAGUGGCGAACGGGUGAGUAACACGUAGGAAUCUACCCUUAAGACGGGGACAACCCAGGGAAACUUGGGCUAAUACCGGAUGAGAGUGCGAGAGAUUGCAUUUAAAAGGAUGGCGGAAGUUGUCGCUUAGGGAUGAGCCUGCGGUCUAUUAGUUAGUUGGUGAGGUAAGAGCUCACCAAGGCGAUGAUAGAUAGGCGGCCUUAACGGGUGGUCGCCCACACUGGGAUUGAGAUACGGCCCAGACUCCUACGGGAGGCAGCAGUCGAGAAUAGUCUACAAUGGCCGGAAGGCUGAUAGUGCGACGCCGCGUGAACGAGGGAGCCCUUCGGGGUGUAAAGUUCUUUUCUAUACGAGCAGUGCUAUAUAUAUGGAUAGUAUAUAUAGAGGGAUAGUAGUAUAGGAAUAAGCAACGGCUAACUCCGUGCCAGCAGCCGCGGUAACACGGGGGUUGCGAGCGUUGUCCGGAAUUACUAGGCGUAAAGGGCAGGUAGGCGGAUCUACGAGUUUUUUGUUAAAGGCUACGGCUCAACUGUAGUAGAGCAGGAGAUACUGUAGGUCUGGAAUGCGGUAGGGGAAGACAGAAUUCCUGGUGUAGCGGUGGAAUGCGCAGAGAUCAGGAGGAAUACCGAAGGCGAAGGCAGUCUUCUAGGCCGUAAUUGACGCUUAACUGCGAAGGUGUGGGGAUCAAACAGGAUUAGAUACCCUGGUAGUCCACACAGUAAACGAUAAUCACUAGAUGUCGGGUUCUAGAUGGAUUCGGUGUCGGAGCAAACGCGAUAAGUGAUUCGCCUGGGGAGUACGAUCGCAAGGUUGAAACUCAAAUGAAUUGACGG
rnacentral:rRNA from 1 species